GGUUCAGGACAUCUCUCU
rnacentral:snRNA from 1 species